AUGCAGUCGAACGCGAAAGGGGAGCAAUCCCUGAGUAGAGUGGCAAACGGGUGAGUAACACGUGGGUGACCUGCCUUCGAGUGGGGGAUAACGUCCCGAAAGGGACGCUAAUACCGCAUGACAUCCUGCCCUUGGAUGGGCGGAGAUCAAAGCUGGGGAUCGCAAGACCUGGCGCUUGAAGAGGGGCCCGCGCCUGAUUAGCUAGUUGGUGGGGUAACGGCCUACCAAGGCUACGAUCAGUAUCCGACCUGAGAGGGCGGACGGACACACUGGGACUGAGACACGGCCCAGACUCCUACGGGAGGCAGCAGUGGGGAAUUGUUCGCAAUGGGCGAAAGCCUGACGACGCAACGCCGCGUGGAGGACGAAGAUCUUCGGGUCGUAAACUCCUGUCGAGUGGGAAGAAUGGAUCGGGGGUGAAUAAUCCCCGGUAUUGACGGUACCACUAAAGGAAGCCCCGGCUAACUCCGUGCCAGCAGCCGCGGUAAUAC
rnacentral:rRNA from 1 species